rnacentral:tRNA from 1 species
UGCGGUGAGGUUUGGUAACCCCUCUGGCUCAUAACCACGAGUUUUGAAAGUUCGAUUCUUUCCGCCGCAA